rnacentral:misc_RNA from 1 species
AUGUUGUAAUUCUGUAUUGUAAUUAAUUAUUGUAUUGUAUUGUAAAAAAUUAUGUGUGAUAAAAUAUUAAUAUACUGUUUAAUUGCUUUACUUAACAUGACAACCUUAAUUUAAUUGUAAUUAUGAUCAAGGGAAACGAUAGUAUCUCGCACCAAGUGCGAUGCAAUGACGCCCAAGUGGCGAAACUGCCCCGUGUAUGAUACGUGAAGCAAGUAAAUGAGUGUAUCGUUAGUUAGCAGAUUAGUGUCACCAUUAUUGGCAGAUCUCAGUAACAGAUGAACAGUGUUCACCACGUGGAGGUUGCUGAUUGGAUUUGCACACCUUGUUGCCCUGAAAAGGGCCGAUUGCUCCGCUUUACACUAAUCCAUGAGAUGUUCAAAAUGUCCUCCAGCAUUUUAUAAACAUAAUAUAAUUCUUCUUCUGAAAUUACGUACUUACUGCUUCUCGUAACGUAUCUCGAGUAAUCUCCAAACUUGCUCUUCUUAUUUUUUGCAUCAUGUUUUCUCUUGUAGUUGGCGCGUCUUCGUAAACCACAUUUAUCACAUAACCCCAGAGAAAAAAGUCAAGGGAAUUCAAGUCUGGUGAUCUUGGAGGCCAGAGAAUAGAAAAACAUGAUGCAAAGAAUAAGAAGAGCAUGUUUGGAGUCUCACAUAAUGUUUCAACAUUUCGUAUCUUCAUCAUUCACAUGGUAUCUGUACAACAAAUAUAGAUGUAUUACAACAAAUAUAGAUAUAUUACACCAAAAAAUUCACACGGAUGUUAUGUAUUCUCGUACGAUGAAUAUUCUUCAACGUCUCAAAGUGGACUGAUCUUUCAGCCGAAGGCGAUAGUCAAAUGCGCUUGCGCUUCAGAAAUAAAAAUUUAAACUAUGUCUGUGUACUUUCCUUAUUACGUUGUUACAAUUUACUUAUUUCACAAAAUGUUUUUUAUAUACCAUAACGAUACUCCUAUUAUAUUGAUUAUGAUGUAUGUAAAAUACCACUUGUUUUUCACUCCAUAAUGAUAGAAAAUUAUUAAAUGAUAGAAAUUACUAAAUUUCAUUCAUCUUUAUAUUUUGUCUUAACAACAAUGUAUAGAUAUAGGUAUAGUAGAAAUUUUAUAAAAAUGAAGACAUUCAAUGUAGUUGUCGGAAGAUCCGUCAGUCGUUAUUGACAAAGUUCCUCCGCCGCGCGAAAUGGUAUUUGCUGGCGAACGUUGUUUUAAACUUCAUCGUAUUAUGCUUAUCGCUAUGGGAUUGUGGCCGUAUCAGAAACCAUUUAUUUGGCGAAUGCAAGCAGUUUUCUUCUUCAGUGUAUACUGCUUCAGUUUAUUUUCUCAAUUUACACCGUUCUUUACGAGACCUUGUAACAUGGAAUGUAUCCUGAAAAGAUUUUCUUAUAUUUGUAAUACUUUCGUUUAUAUCAUGAAUUACUACUCGUUCUAUUUCAAUUCUGACGCUGUAAAGCAAAUGUUUGAACAUAUGCAGCUUGACUGGAAAAUAUUUAAAAAUAAUGAUGCAAUGAACAUAUUUGAAGAAUAUCUCUUUGAAUCUUAUAUUUUCGCAGUAUCUACAAAUAUUCUUGUUUUAAUAGGUGGAUUUGGCUUUAUCAUUAUUGAAUGUAGAUCUAUUAUUCUUGAUAUUAUUAUACCAAUGUUGACUCACAAAUCACGACCACGUCAACUUGAAAUGGAUCUUGAACUUUUCGUCGAUAAAGAACACUAUUUUUUUUUGUAUUUAGGGCAGGAGUUACUAGUAAUAGGGAUCGGUACUUGGUCGAUGCUUACGACUGGAACAUUCCUAACUACAGUAACAAAACACUCAUGUGCAACAUAUAAAAUUGUUAGUUAUUUAAUCCAAAAUACAGUAACUGUCCAUACGCUACAACUUCCUGUUGUUCAAAGAAUACAAUACAUGCGUCGGAAUAUUUGUCUUUCAGUUUACCUUCAUAGAAGAACCUUGGAGUUCUGCAAAGGCUUGUUACUUUCGUUUGAUAUGUGGUAUUUCCCAUUACUUUUAGUUGCCGUCUUGUCUUUAAGUUGCAUUCUAUUUCGCCUAUACAAUGCUAUAAUUCAGUUCGAUGAGUUGUAUGGUAUUUUAGUGUCCUGCAUAACUUUAGGUUGUUAUUUCGUGUAUAUGUUUAUGGGAAAUUUUCUUGGACAAACUUAUACCGAACAUAGUGUAGAAGUAUUAGACUCUACGUAAGUAAAGCAUAAAAAUAAUUUUUAUAUAUUCUUAUAAAUUGUAUAUGUAUUUUAUGAUAUAACCUUGAUUUAAACAUAUUUAUUAGACAUAUAGUAGACAUUUUGUUUCUGAUUAUCCUUUACAGUAACAUUUACUUGUGCAAAUAUAAAUACCAAUAUAUAAUAUUUGCUUUUAAAUACAUAAAUAUUUAUUGAAAUAUAGUAUAUUGUAAUGAAAUAUAGUGUGUUGUCAUCCCAUAUAACUGUGUGUGUAUCUGGAAUAUGAUACUCUUUGGUAUGUAGCACCAUUACCGAUUCAGAAAUUGUUCUUGAUUAUGCAAAAAUCUAUAAGGAGCCAUAAAAUAAUAUU